rnacentral:tRNA from 1 species
GUUAUGGUGAUUUAGUGGCGGAAUUCCUGCCUUCCAUGUAGGAGACCUGGGUUCAAUUCCUGGCCAAUCCA